UGGCUUUAUUAACAGGACAGAACAGCAGCUUCAGGUACGCUCAGGGGAGGGGGCGUGUCUUUAUUAACAGGACAGAACAGCAUCUUCAGGUAUGCUCAGGGGAGGGGGCGUGUCUUUAUUGUGGCAGGGCUUACAAACUAUCACGCAUUACAAAGGGAAACCCAGCCGCGAGCUGCCCGGUGACGCAAGCCUACCAGACGAGAUAAAUACCUUCUAUGCUCGCUUCGAGGCAAGCAACACUGAAUCAUGCAUGAGAGCACCAGCUGUUCCAGACAACUGUGUGAUCACACUCGCCGUAGCCAAUGUGAGUAAGACCUUGAAACAGGUUAACAUUAACAGGGCCAGACGGAUUACCACGAUGCAUACUCGGCGCAUGCGCUGACCAGCUUGCAAGUGUCUUCACUGACCACCAUAGUCCCUGUGCCCAAGAACACCACGGUAACUAGUCUAAAUGACUAUCGCCCCGUAGCACCCACAUCUGUUGCCAUGAACUGCUUUGAAAGACUUGUCAUGGCUCACAUCAACACCAUCAUCCCAGACACCCUGGACCCACUCUAAUUUGCGUACCUCCCCAACAGACGACACAAUCUCUACUUUACUCCACACUGCCCUUUCCCACCUGGACAGAAGGAACACCUACAUAACAAUGCUGUUCUUAGACUACAGCUCAGCAUUUAAAUCAAAGCUAUUUGACCUCUAUUCCUACAGUACACCAUCUCCUCUAGCAAUCUGCUUAUGAAUGUGUCAUAAAGUCCUUAUGAAGGUUCAUAUACCCACCAUCUCCUCUAGCAAUCUGCUUAUGAAUGUGUCAUAAAGUCCUUAUGAAGGUUCAUAUACCCACCAUCUCCUCUAGCAAUCUGCUUAUGAAUGUGUCAUAAAGUCCUUAUGAAGGUUCAUAUACCCACCAUCUCCUCUAGCAAUCUGCUUAUGAAUGUGUCAUAAAGUCCUUAUGAAGGUUCAUAUACCCACCAUCUCCUCUAGCAAUCUGCUUAUGAAUGUGUCAUAAAGUCCUUAUGAAGGUUCAUAUACCCACCAUCUCCUCUAGCAAUCUGCUUAUGAAUGUGUCAUAAAGUCCUUAUGAAGGUUCAUAUACCCACCAUCUCCUCUAGCAAUCUGCUUAUGAAUGUGUCAUAAAGUCCUUAUGAAGGUUCAUAUACCCACCAUCUCCUCUAGCAAUCUGCUUAUGAAUGUGUCAUAAAGUCCUUAUGAAGGUUCAUAUACCCACCAUCUCCUCUAGCAAUCUGCUUAUGAAUGUGUCAUAAAGUCCUUAUGAAGGUUCAUAUACCCACCAUCUCCUCUAGCAAUCUGCUUAUGAAUGUGUCAUAAAGUCCUUAUGAAGGUUCAUAUACCCACCAUCUCCUCUUGCAAUCUGCUUAUGAAUGUGUCAUAAAGUCCUUAUGAAGGUUCAUAUACCCACCAUCUCCUCUAGCAAUCUGCUUAUGAUUGUGUCAUA